rnacentral:lncRNA from 1 species
UUUCAAAGUUAAUAAUGGUUUGUUAAUCUGUGAAAUUACACAUUUUUUAAAAUAAUAAGCAUUUAAAAUAAACCACAUUUAUUUCCUGAGCAAACUUAUUUUAAUAUCUAACUGCUCUAGAAGAAAAUACAUUCUAAAAUGUUAAGUAGAUAAUGUGCUACUGUUAUAAAUAAGCGCUAAUAAAUGUUGAUCUAGAUCUUAUCUCUGAGUUUUCCAGGGAUGUUUCAUCCGCUUAGCAAUUCCAACCUGACAAAAGGCUUUCCGCUCCAAAGCCCCUGGAAGCUUUUUCCUAUCCCUUGACUUUAAUUAAGACCUUCCCUAAGCAGUGGCUCUCUGCUCUCUGUCGCUUCUGUAUUGUAACGAGUCCCUAGCACACGCCCGGGAGAGUGGAGGCUACCAUGUGAUGAGGAAGAGCUUCCCGAGGGAACAGCACACGCUCCAUCAAAUACUACCUGCCGCAUCUCUUCAUUGCAAGAAAGCUACAAAAGGAAGUCACUCCAGAUGGUGCUACUGCUUUUCGUCCAUUAGUGAGGAAGAGUCCAGAGUUUGACAGUACAGAAUGCUGAUGUCAGCGCUUCUUUGUGAUUUGGACCUGAAAAGUAGCAAUGAGUCAGAGCAGAAUCAGGUUCCCGUCUCUCCUCAGUCAUCCAGUGGCCAGCAAUUGACUCGUGAAAAUCCAAUCCAUCCAUUGGUUCGUGGACCGCAUCACAGUCGUGUUUGGAUGAACCUCCUCAGGUAGCUGCGUCUAAGACGCAUCUUAAGAUAUCUGCUUAAAAUUGCAAACCACAGAAAAUUGGGCACAAUCAAUGAGUAGGAUCGGCGGGAGUAAAACUCUUACAAAGACAUAAGAAAUUUAAUACAACCCAAAAUCCUGCAUUAGAAGAGGUAGGGAAACGCACAAUAGGCUUUUACCACCUGAAAUUGUCCAUAUCAGUGACAAGGGAAAUUCACUUUACCUGAAUGCCUUAUUUCCUCAUCUAUAGGGAAUAAAUAAGCCACUGCUACUUGUUCCUUUAAUUCU